GACGAACGCUGGCGGCGUGCUUAACACAUGCAAGUCGAACGGUGAAGGGAUCAGCUUGCUGGUUCUGGAUGAGUGGCGAACGGGUGAGUAACACGUGAGUAACCUGCCCCCUUCUUCUGGAUAACCGCAUGAAAGUGUGGCUAAUACGGGAUAUUCUGGGUCUGUCGCAUGAUGGGUCUUGGAAAGAUAUUGUUUCGGUGGGGGAUGGGCUCGCGGCCUAUCAGCUUGUUGGUGGGGUGAUGGCCUACCAAGGCGGUGACGGGUAGCCGGCCUGAGAGGGUGGACGGUCACACUGGGACUGAGACACAGCCCAGACUCCUACGGGAGGCAGCAGUGGGGAAUGUUGCACAAUGGGCGGGAGCCUGAUGCAGCGACGCCGCGUGAGGGAUGGAGGCCUUCGGGUUGUAAACCUCUUUCGCCAGUGAAGCAGGCCUGCUCCGUGUGGGUGGGUUGACGGUAGCUGGAUAAGAAGCGCCGGCUAACUACGUG
rnacentral:rRNA from 1 species